rnacentral:rRNA from 1 species
CCAAUAGCGUAUAUUAAAGGUGUUGCAGUUAAAAAGCUCGUAGUUGAAUUUCGGGGUCAGUAGGCUGGUCGUGCCACGGGUAUGUACUGGUCUCACUGAUUCCUCCUUCCUGAUGAACCGUAAUGCUAUUAAUUUGGUGUUGCGGGGAAACUGGACUGUUACUUUGAAAAAAUUAGAGUGUUUAAAGCAGGCUAACGCCUGAAACCAUUAGCAUGGAAUAAUGAAAUAGGACGUUCGAUCCUAUUUUGUUGGUUUCUAGGAUUGACGUAAUGAUUAAUAGGGAUAGUUGGGGGCAUUAGUAUUCAAUUGUCAGAGGUGAAAUUCUUGGAUUUAUUGAAGACUAACUACUGCGAAAGCAUUUGCCAAGGAUGUUUUCAUUAAUCAAGAACGAAAGUUAGGGGAUCGAAGACGAUCAGAUACCGUCGUAGUCUUAACCAUAAACUAUGCCGACUAGGGAUCGGAUGAUGUUAAUUUUUUAAUGACUCAUUCGGCGCCUUACG